rnacentral:rRNA from 1 species
GAUGAACGCUGGCGGCGUGCCUAAUACAUGCAAGUCGAGCGAACAGAUGAGGAGCUUGCUCCUCUGACGUUAGCGGCGGACGGGUGAGUAACACGUGGAUAACCUACCUAUAAGACUGGGAUAACUUCGGGAAACCGGAGCUAAUACCGGAUAAUAUAUUGAACCGCAUGGUUCAAUAGUGAAAGACGGUUUUGCUGUCACUUAUAGAUGGAUCCGCGCCGCAUUAGCUAGUUGGUAAGGUAACGGCUUACCAAGGCAACGAUGCGUAGCCGACCUGAGAGGGUGAUCGGCCACACGGGAACUGAGACACGGUCCAGACUCCUACGGGGGGCAGCAGUAGGGACUCUUCCGCAAUGGACGAAAGCCUGACGGAGCAACGCCGCGUGAGUGAUGAAGGUCUUCGGAUCGUAAAACUCUGUUAUUAGGGAAGAACAAAUGUGUAAGUAACUAUGCACGUCUUGACGGUACCUAAUCAGAAAGCCACGGCUAACUACGUG